rnacentral:lncRNA from 12 species
AAAUGUCUCCUGAGAUCCGAUCAGAGUGUAGAUAUAUUCAACUUACAUGUUCUCCAGAAUCCAUAGAUCAUCCUCUUGGUUGACGUGAUUCUGAGCAGCUAUUCCCCGUGCCCUUCCAGGAAACAGCCUGAAACAAGAAUAUAGACUAGAAGAGUCCUGGAUUCUGUGUCAGAAAGUCUCCAGUUGGACCAGUACCACCAUGGAUAGCUCAGAGCCCCUGCACAAGGUAUUGGAUCUCACACCUCACAACUGGAGUUCAGACCUCACAGGAAUGUCA